rnacentral:rRNA from 1 species
GAUGAACGCUGGCAGCAUGCUUAACACAUGCAAGUCGAAGGGGAAUGCGUUGUUUUUGUGGCUUGCCCGGGUGGCCGAGGGGUGAAUAACUAGAGAGUUACCUGUCCUUUCCGGUGUGACAACCUCAAACAACUGGUAACACUACCUACAAGUGCCUCCACGCAUAUGGCGGGGGAUGGAAAGAGUCGGCGGGUGGGGGUGGAGUCGCGGCUUAUCAUCUUGUUGGUGGGGUGGUGGCCCACCACGGCUUUGGCGGGUAGCCGGCCUGGGAGGGUGAGCGGCCACAUUGGGACUGUGAUACGGCCCAGACUCCUACGGGAGGCAGCAGUGGGGAAUAUUGCACAAUGGGCGGAAGCCUGAUGCAGCAACGCCGCGUGCGGGAUGACGGCCUUCGGGUUGUAAACCGCUUUCGCAUGUGACGAAGCGUGAGUGACGGUAAUGGGUAAAGAAGCACCGGCUAACUACGUG